CAUGAAAUCUCUAUGAUAGAGAUUAAGAGAAGAACCUUUUCUUCUUAAUUCUCUCACGCACAAGAGAGAACCUUUCUCUCUUCCUUUCAUACCUUUAAGAAGAACUUUUAUUCUCUAAUUUUUUAUGAUAAAAAUUAGAUCUAAUCUGAUUUCUCAUGUAAAAAAUUACAUAAAUUUCAUACUCUAAAAAAAUUCAAAAGAAAGGCCCA
rnacentral:lncRNA from 1 species